rnacentral:rRNA from 1 species
UACGAGUGCCUCAAGCGUUAUCCGGAAUUAUUGGGCGUAAAGGUUGUGUAGGUGGUUGUAUUAGUCUUCUGUUAAAUUCUUCGGCUUAACCGGGGGCAUGCAGGGGAAACGGUCCAACUCGAGGAUGCGAGGGGUCUGCGGAACUCAUAGUGUAGCGGUGAAAUGCGUUGAUAUUAUGGGGAACACCAAAAGCGAAGGCAGCAGACUGGAGCACUCCUGACACUGAAACAAGAAAGCGUGGGUCGCGAAUGGG